CAUCCACCACCAUUCCCUCCUCAAACGCCACCACAACAACAACCCCUCAGACACCCCUCCCCCCACCUCACUUUUCCUCACACCCACCACACACCCCAACUUAACACUCUCCCACCACACUCCUUCUAACUCUCACAUCACUUCCUUUUCCCUCUCCCAAACCACACCCUCCUCCUCCUCCACAACCUCCCAAACCAGCCCCUCCUUUGACCUCCUCCGCCACCACCUGUCCUCCAAAAACUUCCAGCAAGCUGACGAGGAGACGCGUCGUCUACUCAUCGUGCUUGCUGGGGAAGCCGCUCAGAAGC
rnacentral:lncRNA from 1 species